GAUUUUGUAAAAAUAGUUUUACGAGAGAAGCCAUGUCAUGAGUCAAGUUGUCGGAUCAAGAUCACCAUUAAGAACGACUCAUUUAAAAUAUAAAAUUUUGUAUUGCUUGAAUCUUGUUAUCCACCAAUUUUGUGUUUGUACUUGAACUUCGUCAUAUAUCAAUUUGCGCUUGUUUGUCAUUCAUCAAAACCUACACAUAAGAACACACGUUUUAGUAUAAAG
rnacentral:lncRNA from 1 species